rnacentral:rRNA from 1 species
CACACGCCCGUCACACCAUGGGAGUGGGGUUCACCAGAAGCAGGUGGCCUAACCGCAAGGAAGGCGCCUACCACGGUGAGCUUCAUGACUGGGGUG